ensembl:lncRNA
CUGGGUGGCAGUGACAUGAGUAAUCAGGUGUUGCUAACCUGGCUGCCCUUUUGCUCUGCUCAUGAAUGCUUUCUGCUGCACUGGAAGCUCUUCGUUUGUUGAUCUCUCACUGCUGGGUCUUCUUUUUCCUCAACCCAACUGCUUUAUUUUUACUCAUGACAUGGAAAAGUUCCUCCUGUAUCUUUCUUGCAGCUCACCUUUUGGAAACAGAUUGACAUGGAUUGGUGGCCUUUGCUUCCUGUUCCUGAAGAGUGACUUAUGCUUGUGCUAAGAAUGAGGUGCCAAGGACAGCAACCGAAUGGCUUCAGAAUCAGGCUCCCACUCUUUUGGCCAUGGCAACAGGAGAGAAGGAUUCACAGGAACGAUCUGAACCUCAGAUAGCCUUUGGAGGAGAAAACAACAAGGCCAGCUUCAUCGGUGAAAAAAAUCCAUGUAAGUGGGAUAUGUGAUCCAAGAUAUUUGAAGUAUCUUGCGCAUCUGAAGAAAGAUCUGUGAGAUGGGGAAGAGCAGCCUCAGAGAAACUGUACUGACUGGAUCUCCCUGGAACAAAGACCUUUCUGUACACAAUAGGAAACACUGAGCCAAGGCAAGAGAAAAAGCUCCCAUCUGCUAAUAAUCCAAUUAAAGAGACCAAAAGCCAAGUAGAACAUGCAGACUGAUGGAUGUUCAGAAACGUCCUUUGCAGAAGCUCACCAUGGAGCUGGGGGAAGUAGAGAAUGAAAGUUGCUCUGAAGCUCUCAGAAUACACAUCCCAAAGGAAAUCACUUUCCCCUAUGGCCUACUUCAAAGCUUCGACUCAUUUUUGCCACCCCUCAGCUGUUCCUUUCCACAUCGUUGGUCCCUCUCAUACAUAUCCCUUUCAACUUCUCCAUAUCCUGGUCCCAGAUGGUUGGUGCACCAGCACUUUUCCAACAGCACCCUCCUCCCAUUAAUUCUUGCUCUCUAGAAGGUAAUCUGUGAUAUUAGCAUUCUCAAAAUCAUGAGACGGCUAUCGUGAGCAGUAACUCCACCUAGCAGUGGGAUCAGUAUCAAAAGAUAUCUAGGAAAAAAUUUUAUUCCACAUGAUGGAAACAGUGUUAAAAGCCUCUGUAUGGUUGUGGGGCAAGUUAAGAACUUAAUCUUGGACCCCACAGAGUCUUAGACACCAUCUUGUGCUAUAGUCACAUAGCUUAUUGAUAGCAAAGAUAACAAUCUCUUUCCAGUUCCUUGCUCAUUAUUUUAUACCAUCGCAAGUUAUGUCUAAUAAACACAGAAAGGAGGCUUUCUCCAUAUGGCAGCUCUGUGGGAGACCACAAAUUAUCCCUGAGCACUUUAAGCCUUAUCUAAGUUGGAAUACUGUCUCUGUUAUCUACUGAAGUCAUACUGAAAAUGACAGGUUGUUUGGGUUCUUAAUGGUUGUUAAGCAGAGGAGCAUGUAGCAUUGUAACGCAUUUCACUUUCUACUUGGGGCAUGAACUUCUAUAGAAAUUCAGAAAAGUGAUUAUAGGAUUUUUAAUAUUUGAUAUACAAUAAAUGUAACAUUAUUAAUAAACUUACAAUUUAAUAAGUUUUGAUGUGUCUAUAC